ACAAUGCUGAAGAGUCCCAAAAUAGAACGAAACGUUCGUCCAGUGU
rfam:Schistosoma margrebowiei strain Zambia genome assembly, scaffold: SMRZ_contig0001967